rnacentral:lncRNA from 10 species
CUACAUCCUGUGAAUGAGCCACCUAUUUCCUGCUGAAUUCUCAACUAAUAAAAUAGACCUUUUAGGAGGUGCCUUAUAUGUCCAGUGGAUGUCUAUUUUUUUCCUUCACUCUAAUUUAAAUAAAUUUUCAAUAGAAUGCACAGAUUAGGCCGGGCGCGGUGGCUCAUGCCUGUAAUUCCAGCACUUUGGGAGGCCAAGGCAGGCGGAUCACCUGAGGUCCGGAGUUCCAGACCAUCCUGACCAACAUGGAGAAACCCCAUCUCUACAAAAAAUACAAAAUUAGCUGGGCGUGGUAGUGCAUGCCUGUAACCCCAGCUACUCGGGACGCUGAGGCAGGAGAAUCGCUGAACCCCGGGAGGCGGAGGUUGCCGUGAGCCGAGAUUGCGCCACUGCACUCCAGCCUGGGCCACAAAAGCGAAAGUCCGUCUAAAAAAAAAAAGAAUGCACGGAAUAAUAAAAAGUUUCUACAAGCAUGAGGUCUAUGUUCUGAGACAUUACUAGCAUUUUUCUACCCUCUCAAGUUCCAAGGUAUGUUUGUAACUACAAACCUAACACAAAUGGCUCUGUGGUAUUUAAUUAUUUUAUCUUAACUUGUUCUUUCUUUUCUAGAGAUAAUAACAACAAAAAAACUUGUUUCUUUUGCUGUGGAGAACUUGUGACACAAAUGUAUUUUUUUCUAAAAUUUUUAAAGGGCCAUAAUUACAAUAUUAAAAUAUUUAAUUGAUCUAUAUAUGCACACCCACACACAUAUAUAUACACACACACAUACAUACACACACAUAUAUGCACACCACAAUUUCUUCAUUCAUCUGUCAGUGAACACUUAAGUAGUUUCCAUGUCUUGUCUAUUGUGAGUAAUGCUGCAAUGAACAUGGGAGUGCACAUAUCUCUUCAAACUAUUGAUUUUGUUCCUUCAGAUAUAUAUCCAGAAGUGAGAUUGUUGGGUUAUACGGUAGUUCUAUUUAUAAUUUUUUGAGGAAACUCCAUACUGUUUUCCAUAACAACUGUAUCAAUUUGCAUCACCACCUUCUUCAUAGUAUACAAGCGUUCCCUUUUCUCUAUCUCUUUGCCAAAUUUGUUAUAUCUUAAACUUUUUCAUAGCAGUCAUCCUAACAGGUGUGAAGUAAUAAUUCAUUCUGGGUUUGAAUAACAUUUCCUGGUGAUUAGUUGAGCAUCUUUUUCAUGUACAUGUUGGUCGUUUGUAUACUUACUUUGGAUAAAUGUCUAUUCAAGCGCUUUCUCCCGUUUUUAGUUGAAUUAUUUGUUUUUGAUAUUUGUUUGUUUGACUAAUUUUUGCUAUUGAGUUGUAUGAGUUUCUUACAUAUUCUGGAUAUUAAAAC